rnacentral:rRNA from 1 species
GACGUAGGAGGCGAGCGUUAUCCGGAUUCACUGGGCGUAAAGCGCAUGUAGGCGGUUGCACAAGUCCGUUGUUAAAGCCCCCUGGCUCAACUGGGGGAGGUCAAUGGAGACUGUGCGACUUGAGGGCAAUAGAGGCACGUGGAACUCCCGGUGUAGCGGUGGAAUGCGUAGAGAUCGGGAAGAACACCAGUGGCGAAGGCGACGUGCUGGGUUGCACCUGACGCUGAGAUGCGAAAGCGUGGGGAGCGAACAGG